GAUCCGUACCCACCUCCCCUCCCAACCUUCCCAAUCUGUGAUUUAUUGUUUAUUAUUUGUGGUUUGAGAUAAUUUCGGUUGAAAUUUGUGGAUGUGAUUUUCUUGGCGUAUGAUUAAUUUUUAGUGGUAUGAUUUUCCUUGCGAUUUUGUGGUCAUUCCUUUGUUUAUGGUUUUGGCUUUAUGGGAGAUUCAUACUUUGAGGGAGAGAGAGAGAAGGGGAGGAGGAGGAAAUUUGAAUUUACCAAUGGAUUUUAAUUCACUGGUGUUGAAGUUAGUGAUGGCAACAGGCUAGGUAUUUAUCGGUAAUCAAUUCGUUCAAACUCUAAUGAGUUUAGGUAAUAUAUAAUCAAAUUUGAGAUGAGUUCGGAUUUGAAAAAUAAUACUCAUAAUACAUUUACGUUCAAAGUUUAUGUGUUAAGUAUCUGUUAUUCGUU
rnacentral:misc_RNA from 1 species